GAAGUGUUAGUUAACUAAUAACACAAUCUUGUCAAGAUUGAAUUAUAGACUAAGCCCCUAUACUCUUCU
rnacentral:tRNA from 1 species